GACGAACGCUGGCGGCGUGCUUAACACAUGCAAGUCGAACGGUGAACCUCUUCGGAGGGGAUCAGUGGCGAACGGGUGAGUAACACGUGGGCAACCUGCCCCCGGCUCUGGGAUAACUCCAAGAAAUUGGGGCUAAUACCGGAUGUUCACCGCUUCCCGCAUGGGUGGUGGUGCAAAGGGUUUCCGGCUGGGGAUGGGCCCGCGGCCUAUCAGCUUGUUGGUGGGGUAGUGGCCUACCAAGGCGACGACGGGUAGCCGGCCUGGGAGGGGGACCGGCCACACGGGGACUGAGACACGGCCCAGACUCCUACGGGAGGCAGCAGUGGGGAAUAUUGCGCAAUGGGCGGAAGCCUGACGCAGCGACGCCGCGUGGGGGAUGACGGCCUUCGGGUUGUAAACCUCUUUCAGCAGGGACGAAGCGCAAGUGACGGUACCUGCAGAAGAAGCACCGGCCAACUACGUG
rnacentral:rRNA from 1 species